UAUGAGAUAACUGUUCUUCAAUGUCAACAUUCUGCAGGUAGAGCCAUCAGCCCUGAGAAGGUGAGUGACAGAUCCAGGCUUACCUAGCUAAUGAGCACUGGAAUGUGCUCAGCCUCUCCAUAGGAUCCUUGAUGGAUAGCUAGCAUUUUGGGAGGAUGCUUGGAGAAGCCGGAUGAUCUAAGUAAGGUGGUACACUAUAGCACUGGCAUCAUAGUAAUCUACUGAAAUCUCAUAAUGUUCAUGUAAACCCUACAAUGUGGAUAAAUGAUUGAAGAGACAUGAAGGGACAAGUCUGUGUUCCCAAGGUAAUAGUU
rnacentral:lncRNA from 1 species